UGCACCGACGCCCGCAUUGUAAAGUCAAAAAUAAGCUCGGUUGACGCUAAAAAUAGUGGCUCAAUGUCGCUAUUGCUUAGUCGUUUCGCGAACAUCGUGGAAAACUGUCGUGACGAUUGCAUUAAAAAUAGAAACAAAAACUACAAAAAAAUCGCCCAAAAAAGAACUUUAUGAUACAUAGGGUAGCAAUCGGAUUUCGAAACCGACUUUAAUCCGAAAAGAGCACCCUCGUGAUCGGGUUACGUAAGCAGUCGACGUUCAGCUGACGGUGAUUAAUUUUCUGUUCUUAAUCCGAAAAUAGUCGCAAAAUUCUGGCGGUGGUUAUUACGAUUUUCGGAGGCUGUUUUACGUUGGAGGUCAGUAGUUCAAUCAAGCGAAUGUUUGAAUUUGAAUUGGAAAUUUCAAUUGAUCUUUGAGAAAAUGUUCGAUAUGGUAUUUCUGAAGCAAAUCGACCUACAGUGGGAUGGAUCGUGUUGAUAGACGUCGUCGCAGAAGCAGGAACCACAAAGCAAAAAAGCCACCAAAGGUUCCAAUUAAAACUUACAGGUGGGAGGAUAUAAGACGGUGGCGAAGAAGAGGAGGUUAUCCAUGGACACAUCUCUAUAAAGGACCAUAUUCAGAAAAAGUGGAUCCACAGCAGUUUACUAUGGAAGCUUUUAGGAAGGCAAAAUCGUCCGACCGAAUAGAUGCGUCCGAAGUAUCAUCGUGGGCCGAUUACAGCGGAAAAACAACGCCAACGUUACUUCAUGAGUUAACUCGUGAGCCACCUUCCAAAAAAUCCUCCAGACCUGGGUCGUUUAUUCUGGAUGACGACCUUGAGGAUGAUGUGCAGGGCAACGGAUUUCGGGCAGCCACAUGUCCAAUGGAUGUCCAUAAUUUGUCCGAUUGCUGUCCAAUUGACGUCCAUUUUCCUAUACAAAUGUCACAGAAUCCUACCUCC